AUUGAACGCUGGCGGCAGGCCUAACACAUGCAAGUCGAACGAGUGGCGGACGGGUGAGUAAUGUCUGGGAAACUGCCUGAUGGAGGGGGAUAACUACUGGAAACGGUAGCUAAUACCGCAUACCAUCGGAUGUGCCCAGAUGGGAUUAGCUAGUAGGUGGGGUAAAGGCUCACCUAGGCGACGAUCCCUAGCUGGUCUGAGAGGAUGACCAGCAACACUGGAACUGAGAAACGGUCCAGAUGCCUCCGGGAGGGAGCGGUGGGGAACAUUGCACAAUGGGGGCAAGCCUGAUGCAGCCAUGCCGCGUGUAGGAAGAAGGCCUUCGGGUUGUAAAGUACUUUCAGCGGGGCGGCGGUACCCGCAGAAGAAGCACCGGCUAACUCCGUGCCAGCAGCCGCGGUAAUAC
rnacentral:rRNA from 1 species